UUCAGGGAAGUCAGUGAAGGAGGGAGAAUCUGUCACUUUACAUCCUGGUGUUGUAAGACAACCAAAUGAGGUGAUGAGAUGGUAUUAUAAAGACAUUCGCAUCGCUGAAAUCACUGGAGAUCAGAGUAAGAGUAUCUGUUCAGAUGAUGAGUGUAAAGAGAGAUUCGGAGACAGACUGGAGCUGGAUCAGACUGGAUCUCUGACCAUCACGAACACCAGAAACACAGACUCUGGAGAAUAUAAACUGGAGAUCAGCAGAAAGGGUCGUCUUGGCAACAGUGCUUUCAGUGAGAAGAGCUUUGGUGUUAAAGUUGCUGUUAAUGUUCCAGUUUCAGGUCGGUCUUCAGCUGCUGCAGCAGGAAUAGCUGUUACUGUCAUUCUGCUUUUAGCUGCGUGUGCUGCGGUUGUGAUUUACUAACACAAACAUCAAGCGAAAUGAGAAGGUAAAUGAUGCUCCAGUGAAUCAAGAGUCCUUACUGUAGGAGACUGCGACAUACUGUUGAACACUACUGAUGGGACAUCCUUAAAUCAGACUGAGGCUGAUUAGCAUUACAUCAUUAAUUACACUAACACUGAAGAGGCAGUGUAAAAUCGAGAAAAAGAGAAAAGCAUCAGUCGAAACCAGUGGAGUACACAAAUCAAGUAAAUAAGUA